AUUCCAGCUCCAAUAGCGUAUAUUAAAGUUGUUGCAGUUAAAAAGCUCGUAGUUGGAUUUCUGGUUGGAGCGACCGGUCGGGCAUUGAUUUGUCUGCACUGGAGUCGGUUCCGUCCAUCCUCUCGGAAAGUGCGUAUGGCAUUAAGUUGUCGUGCGUAUGAUCCGGGUCUUUUACUGUGAAAAAAUUAGAGUGUUUAAAGCAGGCCUUCGCCUUGAAUACAUUAGCAUGGAAUAAUAAGAUAGGACUUGGGUCUAUUUUGUUGGUUUGCAGACCGAAGUAAUGAUUAAUAGGGAUAGUUGGGGGUAUUUAUAUUCCGAUGUCAGAGGUGAAAUUCUUAGAUUUUCGGAAGAUAAACUUAUGCGAAAGCAUUUACCAAGGAUGUUUUCAUUG
rnacentral:rRNA from 1 species